CGCCGCUGCGGCGCGCGGUGGAACGGGGGUGCGGGCUCCCAGUCGUGCGCCGCUCCGCUCAAGCCGGCUCGCUCUUCUCUCUGCCCCGGUUGCCUCCCCGCUCUGCCUGCCUGGAGAGCCGGGACGGCCGGGACUACCUCCCCUCGGUUUGAGAGUAGCAUCGCCCAUGGUCCUAGAGGUGGACAUUUUCGUAUGGCUUUUACUCUGUUUGUACUUGAUUUUGCUGUACUUUGCGUUUUUCCGUUGUAUCAUUUGUACUAUGUUGAUUGUCGUAAACGACCAAUUUGAAAUGUAUCGCGUGAUUAUUUGCUAGUUUGAAUAUUCGAUGGCUCAUUGUUCGUUGGCGUAUUGUUAGAAGGCAAUUUCUGCAAUACUUCUCAGUACUCGUUUGUUGUGUGACGUGCCACCCGGCUCUAUGCCCGGCCAUGAUUCUGGACCAUUCGCGCUGAUGGCGGCAGAGGCGGUCGUGUCGUGUCUGUGUUUGCGCGAGCGAUGAUAUGGCGUCGGAGAUGUGAGGCUGGCUUGGGAAGAUGCCUCUGGAUGUAUGGACGUUAGCCGCGAAGCGACCCAGAAGGCACAUUUGUCGGUAGGUCACGAAAUGUCACGAGUGUUGGGAAAGGUCACGAAAUGUCACGAAUGUUAGGAAAUGUCACGAAAUGUCACGAAUGUUAAGAAAGGUCACGAAAUGUCACGAUUCAUUUGAUGUCAGUACGCAGGGAUGCUGUGUUAUCUGUGGUAGGGCCCCUCACGGCCUGUUUUGGUGUAUCAUUUAUUGGUACGUUUAAGCCCUCUUUGUUUGCCCACCCCUUUCGUUUAUUUAUUGUACGUUUGGUAACGCUUAUUUAUACGUCUUUUGAUUUGUGUAUUGUGUUUCGUUCCCAGCAACGACUGUUACUCUCGAGAUCGUGUGGGCUAUCCACUUAGCUCACUCGGUCCAAUAAACGGUCCGUUAAGACAUACUGGAUUUCGACACGCUGGGUCUGGAGAUGCGGCUACAGUUGCGACAAGUGUCGACAACGGCGACGAGCUGCCCACGGCAGAGUAGCGACUUCUGCAGCUACGCGUGAAGGCAGCUCGACCACCCACCGGGAGGACCUCGCAGCACGCUCACACCGGCUGGUGGCUCUGCUGGCCUCGUUAGGCGGCUGGUUUGCUGCUGCUGGCUGGUGCUGGUGAGGACUGAGUCGCCCCUGCUCAUCAGUGAGUGCUCUACUUCUGCUGAUAUUUGGGGUAAGCGGGCUGUAUGGUACUUGCAGUGGCGCAGUGACAUUCUGAUAAACGGUUCACAAAAACAGUGACUCUGGAGGCAAACUGGUGAUCAAAUGUGAACUAUCUUGCAAAGUGUGUGCCUUCAUGGUAAACGAGUCGAAGAGAACAGUAUCUUGAGAAGCGACAGACACUUAGUGCAUCAGUGUGUGAUCAUUUAUUGUGGUGUGAGUUAUGCUGAGUAUGGUUUCCAUUGUAUUUGUGUUCGGUGAUCUACUAAGGGGUUAAGGACAACCUGUUGAUUGAUAGAGAUUCCAGGAUAGCAUUGUUGCUGAUUAGUUCCAGUUUCCAGAAGAGCUUUCUAAUUUGAUUUGUGGUAGUUGGUUGUGCCCAGGCUCGGUCACGAGAUGGAUACGCUUGGCAAACUAAGGGUUCAUCAGCUGAAGGCUGAGCUGUCGAGAAGAGGUGAAGAUAGUAGAGGACCUAAGGCGGUGCUGGUGAAUCGUCUGGAGGACAUCCUGAAAGAGGAAGGCGUUGAUUUGGCAACAUUUGUCACAGAGUUUGGUAGAUUCGAACACACUGAUCGUGUAGGCGGUGUAGGAUUUGAUGGUCAGACUGGUGAAGGAGCUCCGCCGCUAGAUGUUCCGGAAGAGCUAGACAGGGCGGGUGUCCGUAGUCGGGAAGUCGCUCCAGGCCAGGAGGCUGGUGGGUCGCUCUCUGUUGACCACUUUGAUGCGUCUGGUACCAGGCCUGGCACUGGAAGCCCUGCUGAAUCGGUGAAGUCAUCCCGUUCUUCGUCAACAAGGGCAUCAAGCAAGGCCACAGUUGCUUCAGAACGGGCCUUCGAGGCAGCAAGAAGAGCGGGGCUGCAUGCUAAGGCAGCAGCGUUGAGGAAAAAGCAUGAGCUCGAAGACAUGCAAGAGCAGUUGAGAAGAAGGAAAGAGGAACUGGAAAUUCAAGCUGAACUGGAUGAAAGCCUGGCAAGGGAAGGUGUAUUGGCUCAGUUUGAUAAGGAAGAAACCUUCAAGAGAAUUGAGACAUUAACGCCACAAGAACAAGAAGAAAGAAGAACACAAGAACGAGAAGAAAGAGGAACACAAGAACAAGAAGAAAGAAGAACACAAGAACAAGAAGGAAGAAGGACACAAGAAGAAGAAGAAGAAAGAGCACAUGAUCAAAGAAGAACGCGUGUUCAAGAAAGAGCACAAGAACCAAGAAGAACACGUGUACAAGAAGAAAGAGCACAAAAUCCAAGAACACGUGUACAAGAAGAAAGAGCACAAGAUCCAAGAACACGUGUACAAGAAGAAAGAGCACAAGAUCCAAGAACACGUGUACAAGAAGAAAGAGCAUACGAACAAGGAAGAAAAGCACAAAAUCAAGAAAGUGAACGAAGGAGAGCAAGCAGGGAUGAGCCUGGAGCUCAGCAGCACGGGGACUCCACACAGGCUCUCCUAGCCCAUCUGGAAAGAAGUCAGCUGCCCAAGGCUGAGAUACCGAUAUUCACUGGAGACGUUACGAAGUACAGAUCUUUUAUACGUGCAUUCGACAGUCGGAUCUCCUCCAAAACUGAUGACGACGAAGAAAAGCUGUACUUUCUCGAGCAAUAUACAAGUGGUAAGCCACAGGACAUAAUCAGGGGCUGCCUGCACAUGACGACUGGAUCGGGCUACCUGGAAGCCAGGAGACUCCUUGAUCGGAGGUACGGAGACGAGGACUCAAUCACGAGUGCGUUUGUGGAUAUGCUUGUGGAGUGGCCACAAGUAAAACCAGGAGAUCUGGAAGGAAUGGAUCGUUUGUCACUGACGCUGAGGUCUUGCAACAACGUAAUGAGUGGAAUAUCACCCGGAGCAAGGGAGACAGACCACCCAAAGACCAUGCGGAAAAUCAUCGAGAAGCUGCCCUACAACCUGCAGGACCAGUGGCGCCGCCUAGCGGACCAUAUCCAUGAACAGGAGCACAGACGAGCGCGCUUUGAGGAUAUCGUCGACUUUGUCGAGAGAGAAGUAAGGAUCCAGACGAAUCCGAUGUUUGGUCGUCAGCACAGUGUCAGCAGGACAAGAGAACAGGAAGGUCAGCGGAGAAAGGUUCAAACUGUAUCGGCAACAGUCAUCGAGCCAGGAGCUCAGCAGCGGCGGGGAUCGCUCAAGUGUUUGUUCUGUUCAAAGGCACAUUACCUCGACCAAUGUGAAGAGUUCAGAGGAAGGGCACCUCAUGAGAAGAGUGCCUUCAUCAGAGAGCAGGGACUUUGUUUUGGGUGCCUCUGCAAGGGUCACCUGGUGAGGGAAUGUGCGAAAAGGAGAACCUGCUCAAUCUGCAGACUCCGUCAUCCAACAGCACUGCACAACGACAGACCACCGCCAGAGCACGGUGUUCGAAUCGUCUCUGACGGCCAUGCAGGUAGUGAAGUGCCGCAGAACCCGAGCCAAGUCGUAACAAAUGGCAGAGUGAAGCUGAGGAGCUCUUCCAAGACGUGUGCUGACUCGUCAUCUACUAUGAUGUCUAUCGUACCCGUGAAGAUGUGGACUGAUGGUGGCCAGAAAGUAGAGACGUACGCGUUUCUUGACGGAGGCAGUUCAGCGACGUUCUGCUCGGAGUCUUUGCUGAAGCAGAUCGGAGCUGUUGGCGAAAACGUUAAGCUCUCAAUGACUACCGCGUCAGUUGACAAUCAGCAAGUGGACAGUCGUGUGAUAAAGGGAGUCAAGAUAUCGGAUCUGGGUGGAAGUACGUGCAUUGCGAUGCCUCCGAUGUACACUCUCAGCACAAUUCCAGUGAAACUAGAAGACAUGGCGUCAAGCGAGGAUCUAAACCAGUGGGUUCACUUGCAGGGCAUUGAUUUGGCGCGGAUCGAUGCUGAAAUUGGUCUCCUGAUAGGUAGCAACUGUCCUCAGGCGCUCCAGCCGCUAGAGGUAAGACGAAGUGAAGAUGGUGGGCCGUUCGCGCUUCGGACUGAGUUAGGAUGGGUGGUGCAGGGCCCAAGACGCGUUUGUCAGAACGAGAACGACAGAGUAAGAGUGAAUCGCAUCAGGGUUGUCAAUGAGAGCUCCGAUCUCCAUCGCAGUUUCAUGGCUUUGUACAACCAGGAUUUCGAAGACCAUGGUAGUGCUGUGGACGUCGGUCUGUCUAGAGAGGACCAGCAGUGGCUCAAGAAGGUGGAGACUGGAGCGCGCUUCAUCAACGGGCACUACGAGUUACCAGUCCCCCUCAGAGACGAGCAGGUGUUUCCUAACAACAGACAGCAAGCAGAGCAGCGCGCCCAAGGUCUAAAGAAGCGGAUGCUGCGUGAUGAGAAGUAUCUGAGGGACUACAGCGGGUUCGUCAGUGAGCUGAUUGAGAAGGACUACGCGGAAAAGGUGUCCAGAGAGAGUUUGGACGCCUGCUGGGGUAGAACGUGGUAUAUUCCACACCACGGUGUCUACCACCCAGCGAAACCGGACAAAAUCAGAGUAGUUUAUGACUGCUCAGCGAGCUACCGAGGUGUGUCUCUCAACGAUCGACUGCUUCAGGGGCCCAACUUGACCAGCUCACUUAUCGGAGUGCUGCUGCGGUUCCGUCAGGAACCCUUCGCCAUCAUGGGAGAUGUUGAAAAGAUGUUCUACCAAGUUCGAGUUGCUGACAGAGACAGAAGUCUGCUACGAUUCCUCUGGUGGCCCGACGGCGACCUAUCUCGACAGUUGGAAGACUACCAAAUGAACGUUCACCUGUUUGGUGCGACGUCGUCGCCAUCCUGCGCGAACUUCGCGCUGCGAAGGACGGCUCAGGACUACGGAGGGCUGUAUCGACCAGAGGUAGCCAGGUGCAUACAGAGGAACUUCUACGUUGACGACUUUCUCAAGUCUGCGUCAACUGAGGACGAAGCAGCAGGGCUCGCGCUGGAAGUUCGUGAGUGCUGUGCCAGAGGAGGUUUCAGGUUAACGGGUUUUGUCAGCAACAGCUCAAGGGUGAUGUCAUGUCUCCCUGAAACAGAUCGUGCUCCGAGUCACAAAAUGGACCUCACUAAAGGUGUGCUGUCUCCGCAGAGAGCUCUAGGAGUACAGUGGGAUGUCGAUCAUGACACACUCAGCUUCAGAGUGGAGGUACAGCGUGGUCCAGCCUCGAGGAGAGGAAUCUUGUCCACUGUGAGUGCCAUGUACGACCCCUUGGGAUUUGGAGCUCCAUUUUUGUUGCCAGCAAAAGUGUUGCUUCAGGACCUGUGCAGAUUACAGCUGGGUUGGGAUGAUCCAAUUCCCUACUCUCAUCUCCAGCGGUGGAAUCAGUGGUGUGAAGAGCUUGCAGACCUCCGAGAUUUUUCCGUUCCGAGAAGCGUCGCCCCACUGCAUGGUGAGGCUCGGAGUCGCCAGCUGCACAUGUUCGCAGAUGCGAGUGAAGUCGGGUAUGGAGCAGUUGGGUACGUUCGAGUAGAGGACGCUGCGGGAAGGAUUACGACAUCCCUACUGAUGAGCAAGUGCCGUGUAGCCCCAUUGAAGACCUGCUCCAUCCCUCGCCUGGAGUUGACGGCUGCCGCUCUGGCAGUACAAUUGAGCACUCAAAUACUCUCCGAGACAGAUCUGCAUUUCGAUGAGGUGUGUUUUUGGACCGAUAGCGUCUCAACGCUCCGCUACAUACAGAACGUCACAUCUCGCUUCCAGACGUUCGUGGCCAACAAGUUAGCCGUCAUCCAUGAUGGCUCAAGUCCUAACCAGUGGCGAUACGUCCCUUCAGAGCUGAAUCCGGCAGACAGCUUAUCCCGUGGUCAGUCAGGACCAGCGUUUCUUGCAUCUCGCUGGGUUCUUGGCCCAGCGUUCCUCGAGAGCGCCGCCUGUGAAUGGCCGGAUCAGGCACAAGUCCAACAGCUUCAGGGCAGUACAGAGGAGCUUGAGAUCAAGAAAAGCGUAGUCAGCGCCACCACAGCUACAGAAGGUAAUGACUACACUGCACAGCUGCUGAACAGCACAAGUGACUGGUUCAAGCUGAAGAAACGUGUCGCAUGGGUGCUUCGGUGGAAGCAGCUGCUGCAGAAGAGAGUAGCCGGCAGGAAGGAGUCCGGUACACGUGAUGAAGAUCUUCUUUCACCUAGGCUGUCCGUACAAGAACUUGAGAUGGCAGAAGCUGCGAUUCUGAGACAUGUUCAAGAACAGGCGUUUCCUGAAGAAAUGUCCGGUUCAGUGAGGAAGUCGAGCCGUUUGUUCCGUCUGAAUCCUUGUGUGGUUGACGGAACUCUACGAGUCGGAGGACGGCUCGUAAACGCUCAGAUUCCAGACGCUGCAAAACAUCAGCUGAUUCUUCCCAAGAAUGGUCACGUCACUGACCUCAUUAUACGGGACAUGCACGAGAGAAAGGGACAUUCUGGAAGGGAACAUGUCCUGGCUGAGUUGCGCCGAAGGUUCUGGAUUGUGUCUGGAAGCUCUGCAGUACGCAGAGUUCUGUCAAGAUGCGUUAGAUGUCGAAAGAUUCAGGGUUCGGUGGUGACACAGCAGAUGUCGAACCUACCGGAAGACAGAACGGCGCCAGAUGGUGGAGUUUUCAGUCGAGUUGGGACCGAUUAUUUUGGUCCGUUCUAUGUCAAGGUGGGACGAAAGCAGAUGAAGAGAUAUUGUGUGCUUUUCACGUGUCUCGCAACUCGGGCUAUUCACAUCGAGGUGUGCGAAACCCUAGAUACAAGCUCUUUCAUUAAUGCUCUUCGCAGAUUCCAGGCUCGGAGGGGUCAAGUGAAGUUUAUCAGGUCUGACAAUGGGACGAAUUUCACAGGCGCUGAGAGAGAGCUGAGAGAAGAAGUCCGUAAGCUGCGAGAGAAAAGCGUUCAUGACUGCUUACUGAAAGAGGGGAUCACGUGGAAGUUCACCCCUCCAGGUGCCUCAUCGCAAGGAGGUAUAUGGGAGCGACAAGUUCGGAGCAUCAGGAAAGUCCUGAAUGCGCUCCUCAGGGAGCAGACGAUGACUGACGAGUCGCUCCGCACGCUUCUAUGCGAAGUGGAGGCUGUGCUCAACAGUAGACCUCUAACGACGGUAUCAAGUGACCCAGCUGAUCUGCAGCCUCUCACCCCCAACGACCUGCUACUACUGCGUGGUGGUCCGGUGCCAGACGGCAUCUUCAGCGAGGGGGACAGCUGCUUUGGUCGAAGGUGGAAGCAGGUGCAAUAUCUCGCCGACCUGUUUUGGAAGCGUUGGGUAAAGGAAUACCUGCCACUUCUUCAGCAGCGCCAGAAGUGGGUCAGAACACGGAAGAACCUCUCUGUUGGUGACGUUGUUUUGGUCGUUGACGUUAACAGCCCGCGAUGUCGAUGGCCUCUUGGACGCGUAUUGGAGGUGUUUCCGGACAGCGAGGGUCUUGUGCGUUCCGCUAUGGUGAAAACGGCAAGCAGCGUCUUGAAGAGGCCGAUCUCGAAGUUAGUGUUUCUCAUGUAGAAUAAGUAAUGUGACGCACAUGGUGCGCACAUGGGGGCGGGUGUAGGCGGCGCCGCUGCGGCGCGCGGUGGAACGGGGGUGCGGGCUCCCAGUCGUGCGCCGCUCCGCUCAAGCCGGCUCGCUCUUCUCUCUGCCCCGGUUGCCUCCCCGCUCUGCCUGCCUGGAGAGCCGGGACGGCCGGGACUACCUCCCCUCGGUUUGAGAGUAGCAUCGCCCAUGGUCCUAGAGGUGGACAUUUUCGUAUGGCUUUUACUCUGUUUGUACUUGAUUUUGCUGUACUUUGCGUUUUUCCGUUGUAUCAUUUGUACUAUGUUGAUUGUCGUAAACGACCAAUUUGAAAUGUAUCGCGUGAUUAUUUGCUAGUUUGAAUAUUCGAUGGCUCAUUGUUCGUUGGCGUAUUGUUAGAAGGCAAUUUCUGCAAUACUUCUCAGUACUCGUUUGUUGUGUGACGUGCCACCCGGCUCUAUGCCCGGCCAUGAUUCUGGACCAUUCGCGCUGAUGGCGGCAGAGGCGGUCGUGUCGUGUCUGUGUUUGCGCGAGCGAUGAUAUGGCGUCGGAGAUGUGAGGCUGGCUUGGGAAGAUGCCUCUGGAUGUAUGGACGUUAGCCGCGAAGCGACCCAGAAGGCACAUUUGUCGGUAGGUCACGAAAUGUCACGAGUGUUGGGAAAGGUCACGAAAUGUCACGAAUGUUAGGAAAUGUCACGAAAUGUCACGAAUGUUAAGAAAGGUCACGAAAUGUCACGAUUCAUUUGAUGUCAGUACGCAGGGAUGCUGUGUUAUCUGUGGUAGGGCCCCUCACGGCCUGUUUUGGUGUAUCAUUUAUUGGUACGUUUAAGCCCUCUUUGUUUGCCCACCCCUUUCGUUUAUUUAUUGUACGUUUGGUAACGCUUAUUUAUACGUCUUUUGAUUUGUGUAUUGUGUUUCGUUCCCAGCAACGACUGUUACUCUCGAGAUCGUGUGGGCUAUCCACUUAGCUCACUCGGUCCAAUAAACGGUCCGUUAAGACAUACUGGAUUUCGACACGCUGGGUCUGGAGAUGCGGCUACAACCGCAGCUCGCACUAUCUCACCUCUGCGAUCUGGUCGUCGUCGACGCCCUGCUGCCUCAUCGUGGCCAGGAGGGUCUCCACCC